UAUGUUGUAAAAGUACUGACUGGAUUUUGAAGAGUUCUGUGCCACUGCAUUAAGUGUUCAUCAGCUCGAGGCACUUGAUCAUUGCGAACAACAUGCUCGAUGUGCAUAUGAACUUUUUGAGAGAGAUAGAAACAGAGCAAUUGUCAUUGAAGAACUUGCUUCAGAACUUGGAUUUGGUCCCUCAAUCCCGCUUCUUGUGGUUCUCCAUGACUGGAUUAGGCACACUGAUGGGAACUUGGAUUUGUUGCAUGGCGUGUCCAGCCAGAUGUUUGUGAAGGCACAGUGAAGAUAUAGAGCAUUAUUUGUGUAUGCGUUUUAGCCAAACGAGAUGUGCUAUGUGUUGAUAGACAUGGUGAUUGUGCCCAAUGAUUGAAUUUCAAGAUUUGGAGAUCUGGCAAGAUGGCCAAUUUACAAUCUGCUUUGGCACACAAUGAAUGAGGCUUCCCUGCCAAUUGGUGGAGAGGGGUUUGAGCUUCCCAUACACUGCAGGUGCAAGCUUGGUUACCAGUUUGAAUUCUGUGUUGUUGAUACUCUGAGUGUAAAGCUGUAGUUAGUUUGCCUAAAUGGGUAAUUACAUAUUCUUCAAUUCCUUAGAUGCAUUGUACACGUUAAAUUAACCUCUUCUCCAACAUCUGUCUAGUUCUUGUGAAACAUGCUUGAAUUGCCUCAGUGUUGUAGAACUCCUCUGUGGCUUCAACUGAAAACUAAGCUUACUUUUCAGAGCGAUGCAUCUAACUCAG